UAAAGUUACUAUGCCAUGUCAAGUUACAUUUCUCCGUCUUGAUUAAUUGUAGAAUUUGUAUGUACGACAUGGGAUGACAAGACUAUUUCCUAUGAACAUGAUAUUUCAAGAAUUGUAUGACAGAAGUGUAAAUGUAUUUCUAUUUCAAAAAGUAAUAUAAUGAACAAAACAAUAAAAUAUACAAGCAAGCAAAUUGCAUUUAAUGUACUCAUAUAUAUGUACAUAUAUAUAUGUUCAAUGUACUGGAAUACAUUUUCAUAGGUAAUAUACUGCAGAUACACACAAUUUCUAUUCGAUUCCAUGUGGUCGCACAUUUGGCCAAUUAAAUGCAGUUUCCUCACCAAAUCCAUUCAAUUGUUUCCAUUUCACUGAACUUUAUGUGAAACGCUUGGAAUUACACCCAAGACAGAGUUUGAAAGGUGGAAAAGGAAACGGAGAGCUAUGACGUCACCUUUAAAUCAGCCCCAUUGGAGGUCGAUCUUUGGCCGCAUGGCGACACGAUUAAUUGAAAUUUAAAAGUAUAAACAUGCAUUUAAUGCAUUUUGUUGGACUGGGAAAAUCACUGUGAACACAGAGAAAACUAAGAAUAGAAGCAUUUUUCCACGGA